rnacentral:rRNA from 1 species
AGAGUUUGAUCCUGGCUCAGAUUGAACGCUGGCGGCGUGCUUAACACAUGCAAGUCGUACGCGAAAGGGACUUCGGUCCCGAGUAAAGUGGCGCACGGGUGAGUAACACGUGGAUAAUCUGCCUCUAUGAUGGGGAUAACAGUUGGAAACGACUGCUAAUACCGAAUACGCUCAUGAUGAACUUUGUGAGGAAAGGUGGCCUCUGCUUGCAAGCUAUCGCAUAGAGAUGAGUCCGCGUCCCAUUAGCUGGUUGGUGGGGUAACGGCCUACCAAGGCAACGAUGGGUAGCCGAUCUGAGAGGAUGAUCGGCCACACUGGAACUGAAACACGGUCCAGACUCCUACGGGAGGCAGCAGUGGGGAAUAUUGCGCAAUGGGCGAAAGCCUGACGCAGCGACGCCGCGUGAGGGAUGAAGGUCUUCGGAUCGUAAACCUCUGUCAGAAGGGAAGAAACUAGGGUGCUCUAAUCAUCAUCCUACUGACGGUACCUUCAAAGGAAGCACCGGCUAACUCCGUGCCAGCAGCCGCGGU